rnacentral:rRNA from 1 species
GACGGAGGGUGCUAGCGUUGUUCGGAAUUACUGGGCGUAAAGGGUGCGUAGGCGGGUCUUUAAGUCAGGGGUGAAAUCCUGGAGCUCAACUCCAGAACUGCCUUUGAUACUGAGGAUCUUGAGUUCGGGAGAGGUGAGUGGAACUGCGAGUGUAGAGGUGAAAUUCGUAGAUAUUCGCAAGAACACCAGUGGCGAAGGCGGCUCACUGGCCCGAUACUGACGCUGAGGCACGAAAGCGUGGGGAGCAAACAGG